rnacentral:lncRNA from 1 species
AUGUUUGGGGUUCGGAUCAGAUCCAUGAAGGAGGCGGUGGUGGAUUCUCCUUCAUCAUCUGUCAGAGUCUGGAGAGGAGGAGACGGGGAGGAGGAGACAGGGAGGAGGAGACGGGGAGGAGGAGACAGGGAGGAGGAGACGGGGAGGAGGAGACAGGGAGGAGGAGACAGGGAGGAGGAGACGGGGAGGAGGAGACAGGGAGGAGGAGACGGGGAAGAGGAGACAGAGAGGAGGAGACGGGGAGGAGGAGACAGAGAGGAGGAGACGGGGAGGAGGAGACAGAGAGGAGGAGACAGAGAGGAGGAGACAGAGAGGAGGAGACGGGGAAGAGGAGACAGAGAGGAGGAGACGGGGAGGAGGAGACGGGGAGGAGGAGACGGGGAGGAGGAGACAGGGAGGAGGAGACGGGGAGGAGGAGACAGGGAGGAGGAGACAGGGAGGAGGAGACGGGGAGGAGGAGACAGGGAGGAGGAAACAGGGAGGAGGAGACGGGGAGGAGGAGACGGGGAGGAGGAGACGGGGAAGAGGAGACAGAGAGGAGGAGACGGGGAGGAGGAGACAGAGAGGAGGAGACGGGGAGGAGGAGACAGAGAGGAGGAGACAGAGAGGAGGAGACAGAGAGGAGGAGACGGGGAAGAGGAGACAGAGAGGAGGAGACGGGGAGGAGGAGACGGGGAGGAGGAGACAGAGAGGAGGAGACGGGGAGGAGGAGACGGGGAGGAGGAGACGGGGAGGAGGAGACAGGGAGGAGGAGACAGGGAGGAGGAGACGGGGAGGAGGAGACAGAGAGGAGAGACGGAGGAAGGAGGAGACAGAGAGGAGGAGACGGGGAGGAGGAGACGGGAAGGAGGAGACAGAGGGGAGGAGACAGAGAGGAGGAGACAGGGAGGAGGAGACGGGGAAGAGGAGACAGAGAGGAGGAGACGGGGAGGAGGAGACAGAGAGGAGGAGACGGGGAGGAGGAGACAGAGAGGAGGAGACAGAGAGGAGGAGACAGAGAGGAGGAGACGGGGAAGAGGAGACAGAGAGGAGGAGACGGGGAGGAGGAGACGGGGAGGAGGAGACAGAGAGGAGGAGACAGGAGGAGGAGACAGAGAGGAGGAGACAGAGAGGAGGAGACAGAGAGGAGGAGACGGGGAGGAGGAGACAGAGAGGAGGAGAUGGGGAAGAGGAGACAGAGAGGAGGAGACGGGGAGGAGGAGACAGGGAGGAGGAGACGGGAGGAGGAGACGGACAGGAGGAGACAGAGAGGAGGAGACAGCUCAGCUGAUGGCUGCGUCUCCUCUGUAG